AAUCGAGGCCCCGUAAUUGGAAUGAGUACACUUUAAAUCCUUUAACGAGGAUCAAUUGGAGGGCAAGUCUGGUGCCAGCAGCCGCGGUAAUUCCAGCUCCAAUAGCGUAUAUUAAAGUUGUUGCAGUUAAAAAGCUCGUAGUUGGAUCUCAGGAUUUGGAUGGAUGGUUCGCUUUCGGGCGCUACUAUCUGUCUGACCUACUCUAGUCGUGGAUGCCUUGGGUGCUCUUAAUUGAGUGCUUUUGGUGCCCGACGCAAUUACUUUGAAAAAAUUAGAGUGCUCAAAGCAGGCGUAUUGCCUGAAUAGUGUUGCAUGGAAUAAUGAAAUAGGAGUUUACUUCUAUCUUGUUGGUUUUCGGAGGUGAACUAAUGAUUAACAGGGACAGACGGGGGCAUUUGUAUGGAGGGGUUAGAGGUGAAAUUCUUGGAUCCUCUCCAGACAAACUACUGCGAAAGCAUUUGCCAGGAAUGUUUUCACUAAUCAAGAACGAAAGUCGGAGGUUCGAAGACGAUCAGAUACCGUCCUAGUUCUGACCAUAAAUGAUGCCAUCUAACAAUCCACGAAGUUUGCUUGUACGAACUCGUGGGCGGUCCCCGGGAAACCAAAGAUUUUGGGUUCCGGGGGAAGUAUGGUUGCAAAGCUGAAACUUAAAGGAAUUGACGGAAGGGCACCACCAGGAGUGGAGCCUGCGGCUUAAUUUGACCCAACACGGGAAACCUCACCCGGCCCGGACACUUUUAGGAUUGACAGAUUGAAGGCUCUUUCUUGAUCAAGUGGUUGGUGGUGCAUGGCCGUUCUUAGUUGGUGGAGCGAUUUGUCUGGUUAAUUCCGAUAACGAACGAGACUCUACUCUGCUAAAUAGAACGUUGAUAUAUAAAAGUCAGUGCUGACUUCUUAGAGAGACUAACGGCGUUUAGCCGUGUGAGAAAGAGCAAUAACAGGUCUGUGAUGCCCUUAGAUGUCCGGGGCCGCACGCGCGCUACACUGACUGCAGCAACUAGUAUGCUCCUGGUUUGAAAAAACUGGGUAACCUGGUUGAAUUGCAGGCGUGACAGGGAUCAGAGUUUGCAAUUAUCCUCUGUGAACGAGGAAUUCCCAGUAAGCGCAAGUCAUUAGCUUGUGCUGAUUACGUCCCUGCCCUUUGUACACACCGCCCGUCGCUACUACCGAUUGAAUGGUUUAGUGAGGUCUUCGGAUUGGUGCUGAUGGAGUGGUUCUCUGCUCUGUUAGUGCCGAGAAGAUGAUCAAACUUGAUCAUUUAGAGGAAGUAAAAGUCGUAACAAGGU
rnacentral:rRNA from 1 species